rnacentral:tRNA from 1 species
UCCCUGGUGGCUCAGAUGGUUAGGAAUCUGCCUACAAAGCAGGAGGCCUGGGUUCGAUCCCUGGGUCGGGGAG